rnacentral:lncRNA from 1 species
GAUUUACAAAACUUUAUUUUUCAAGGUUUAACAAUGAUUCAUUGUAGACUUUCAGACGAAACAAUUAGCAGUCUUGAAGUACACAUUGAUUACAAAUUAAUUUGAUUUCAGUAGGCAUAUUUCUUGAAACAAACUGAAGAGUACCUAAAAGAUCCCAUUGAAUGCAUGUGGCAUUAUUCCUAGUUUAUGGAUAGUGUUUCAACUAACUGAAUCUUGGGAGAUGGCACUUAGUAAUUAAUGCAUCUAGAAACUGAUAGCACUAAAAUAUUAAAACAUGCAUUCCAAUGUUUACGUGUGUGUGUGCACAUGUGAUUCUGCUUUGCCUGUUUUACUGUCUUAAUGAUUAUCCCUUCUUACUGCUUACUGUUUCUUCUGGGGCUCUUACCUUACUUUUACUGACAGUCACUCAGAAAUUUUCUUGUUUUUUUUUUUGGGGGGGGGGGAGGAUGGAGUCUCACUCUGUCUCCCAGGCUGGAGUGCAGUGGCCCCAUCUCAGCUCACUACAAGCUCCGCCUCCAGGGUUCACGCCAUUCUCCUGCCUCAUCCUCCCGAGUAGCUAGGACUACAGGCAUCCACCACCGCACCGGCUAAUUUUUUGUAUAUUUAGUAGAGGCGGGGUUUCACUGUGUUAGCCAGGAUGGUCUCGAUUUCCUGACCUCAUGAUCCGCCUGCCUCAGCCUCCCAAAGAGCUGGGAUUACAGGUGUGAGCCACCGCACCCGGCUCAGAAAUUUUAUCAGUCCUUUUAUCCAUCAUUUUCUAAUUUUCAAAUAUUUCCAAUAAUGCCUUUUGUUUUAGACAAGGGCUUUGUUGAAAAAACUAAAUUACGCCAAAAUAAAACCAUACUCUAUCUCUAGUGCUGCUCAUGACCUGCCAGAACUUUCAUGCUUCAAAUCACAAGGCUAGGGAAAUUGUCCAGUCAGGAGCCCCCCUCCACAUUUCUGUGAUGGGCUGGGGCUUCCAGGUGCUGCUGCUACAAGGUAAUGUAUAGAUAUAAUUUCUUCUGUCUCUUACAAAAUAAACUGACCAUGAAAUAGCAUUGUCCCUUCACUGUCUUGUUUCAGCUGGCAAAGGAUGUAAAGAUUCCAGAUGGAUUUACAUCUAAGUCGGAAAUAUUCAUUACGUAUGAGCCACUUUAAACAUUUUCUGUCCUUUCUACACGAUUACCUAACAUUUCAAUCUCCCUUUUUGACAUGUGCCCAGCUUCCUUUCUUUAUUAACACUUUAUCCUUUAAAGCUCGGUUUAUCAUUUACAAUCUCUCUUACUUGGUUACUUUGGGACAUCUUUGUAGAUUCAGGUCACUUUUGCCUAUUUUUACUGGAAUAACUGCCACAGAGCACAAUGGGAGUUGACUUCCUAAAAUAGUUUACUGUCUUACUGUCUUCAAAUAUUAUUUUAAGAUAAAACUUAUUUUUAAGCUUAACUUUGAGUAAAUAUUAUGAAGAAAAGAAUGAAUUAUUAAAAGACUUGGUUCUACACACUACUUAUAUGAGGAAAUUAUCUGAAAUUAAAACAUAGCAAGCUCCAUUUGCUCAGCGAUGAGGUACUUGCACAAAGUUCCCCAUGGCCUUUUGGUGUACAAAUUUAUAAUAAUGAAGACUACUUCUAAGAAAAAAAAUUUGACAUAAAAUUUGUUUUUUUAAAAAAACUACUGCAUUCAAAAAGUUGUUUGAGUUGUAAACACUCAAGGAUAAGCCAGUUUAAGGAUCACAUUAUUGUGUCACAGUAAAAGAAAUGUGAGUCACAUUUAUUUCCUUAAUUCAUGGAUUCAGGCUUUCCUAAAUUCUCAAUAAUGAACUACACUACAUUCCUGAUGUGAGUUGUUAGGAAAAUCCAAAUCUUCCUUUCUGGCACUAAGUGCCAAGAAAUGUGCUAUUAUGAAAUCACACAUAGUC